UACAGAGGGUGCAAGCGUUGUUCGGAAUUAUUGGGCGUAAAGAGCUCGUAGGCGGUCUGUCGCGUCUGCUGUGAAAACUCAGGGCUUAACCCUGAGCUUGCAGUGGGUACGGGCAGACUAGAGUUCGGUAGGGGAGACUGGAAUUCCUGGUGUAGCGGUGAAAUGCGCAGAUAUCAGGAGGAACACCGAUGGCGAAGGCAGGUCUCUGGGCCGAUACUGACGCUGAGGAGCGAAAGCGUGGGGAGCGAACAGG
rnacentral:rRNA from 1 species